rnacentral:rRNA from 1 species
UACGAAGGGGGCUAGCGUUGCUCGGAAUCACUGGGCGUAAAGGGUGCGUAGGCGGGUCUUUAAGUCAGGGGUGAAAUCCUGGAGCUCAACUCCAGAACUGCCUUUGAUACUGAGGAUCUUGAGUUCGGGAGAGGUGAGUGGAACUGCGAGUGUAGAGGUGAAAAUUCGUAGAUAUUCGCAAGAACACCAGUGGCGAAGGCGGCUCACUGGCCCGAUACUGACGCUGAGGCACGAAAGCGUGGGGAGCAAACAGGG